AAUGAGAGUGAAGAUGAGAUUGAGAGGGAUCAGGAGAGUUGAGGAUGAGAUGGAUGAGUAAACAAAAGUGAAAACAAAAACUAAAAACUGAAAUCUUUUUGAAAUUGUUUUCACUUUUGUGACGACUCCUUCUCAUUCUCUCUCUCAAUCUCAUCUUGACUCCCAUUCUCACUCU
rnacentral:miRNA from 1 species